rnacentral:lncRNA from 1 species
GCCGUUGCGGCUGGCGGAGGCCGGCCCGGUGCUGGAAGGGUCGACAUGGGUCGACUGAGCUGGCGGCCGCCCCGUCCGGGCGGUUGCUGCAGUGCCUGGGCCCGCUGCUCGAAGGCCCGGGCGUAGUACAUGGCGGACUGAAGGUCGGGGGGUUCCCGGAGCUCGACAUCCAUGCGAAUAUGGUCCGGUAGGCCACCCACAAAGAGCUUAGCGCGCUGAGACGCGGAUAUGCCUGGCGCGUGGCAUGCCAGGGCUUGGAAUCGGUCGGCGUAGUCCUGGACCGUUGAGGUAAACGGUAAGCGGCCAAGGGCUGCCAGUCGGCUGCCACGGAU